CACGUGGUUAGCCGGUGCUUCUUUACCCAUUACCGUCACUCACGCUUCGUCACAGGCGAAAGCGGUUUACAACCCGAAGGCCGUCAUCCCGCACGCGGCGUUGCUGCAUCAGGCUUCCGCCCAUUGUGCAAUAUUCCCCACUGCUGCCUCCCGUAGGAGUCUGGGCCGUAUCUCAGUCCCAAUGUGGCCGGUCACCCUCUCAGGCCGGCUACCCGUCAAAGCCUUGGUAAGCCACUACCCCACCAACAAGCUGAUAAGCCGCGAGUCCAUCCCCAACCGCCGAAACUUUCCAACCCCCACCAUGCAGCAGGAGCUCCUAUCCGGUAUUAGCCCCAGUUUCCUGAAGUUAUCCCAAAGUCAAGGGCAGGUUACUCACGUGUUACUCACCCGUUCGCCACUCGAGCACCCCACAAAAGCAGGGCCUUUCCGUUCGACUUGCAUGUGUUAAGCACGCCGCCAGCGUUCGUCCUGAGCCAGGAUCAAACUCU
rnacentral:rRNA from 1 species